rnacentral:lncRNA from 1 species
CUCACUUCCAUAUAAAAUACCCGAUUAUAGAAACCCUACCCCAAGUUUUUCAAGACCAAGACCUAGAGCUAAAAAGAAGAAAACGGCAGCCAUUGCCAAGGUUUUCCAUCUUUCUUCUGUGAUCUUUUCCUUGUUUGUACUCAAAAAGUGAAAGAAACACAAACACAUAAAAAAAAAUCGACACCAUCUAGUCUCUAACCUAGUAGCCGCAGAACCCAAGGGAGUACAGCCCCCAGAUUGAGUGUUGUGGUACCUCGCAAUUUUGGAUCAUUGGAGGAAUUUGAACGUGGGGAAAAGGUACUGGAAAUGGUUCUGUUAGCCAUGGAAUGGACGAUAGCAUGAAAAGAGAGCAUGGUUGUGUUGCUCUCUUUGGAUUGUAAGUUUGCUAGAUCCAAAUGAAUUCAUAUUUUGCUUCUUGGAUGAUUCUGUGGUUUUUAUGCUUUGAUUUAUUAGUUUAUGUUUGAAUCAUUUCCUUAAGAAUUCAUUAUUUGAGCUAAAAUCUUAUUGUUUUUAACUUUCCAAUAAUGAUGUAAAUUACUUAUUGUUUAAUGGAUUUAAGUGGGUCAAUGCUAUUAGAGAGGCACAAUUUAGAUUAUAUCUUUACAUAAGAAUGGUUUUAUUUAAUGGGUUGGAACUCAAAUAUUGAUUUGCAUAUUUGUUCCUAGUUUCUACUGUAUGCCUAAUUUGUUACAUUGAUUUUGAGAGUUAAUUUAAAUAAUUGAGUGUAUUUAUAUUGUUAAUGGGUCUAUGAAUUUCUAAUUGCUACUUUGCUGAUGGUGUGCGUCAGAAGGUGUCUUGAUUUAGAUAGAAGUUAAUCAUUUUCUUAAGUAAUAAAUAAAGUUCCAUAAUAGAUAAUUCCAAUAACUAAGUACUAUAUGUUUUCCACAACUAUUUCAUAAUUCAUAACCUUACAAUAAUCUUAAUGUAGAAAAAUACCUUGAACCCUUCUAGUUUGCUCUGGGCGCGUUUAAUUAAAUAAAUGGUCAUAGCUACGGGUAUGGUUCCCGUGACGUAGUUGUGACGCUUAAUUUCUAAAAAUGGGGUGCACAUUUAUGUGACUCAAAUCCAAAUCUCAACAACGUUGGAUAAAAUGUGUCGGGGACCGCGGGUGCGUUUAUGUAACGUGGUUCAAGACAUAUUUUAAAUAACGUUGCAAUUUUCUUUUAAAAAUUGAAUAAAAAGCGGUUUAAAGCUAAAAUGCACAUAGGUCUAAAAGUGUUUUUUUAAAAAUUCAAACAAUUGAGCCAAAAAUAACAGUUGAGCGACCGUGCUAGAACCACGGAACUCGGGAAUGUCUAACACCUUCUCCCGGGUUAAUAGAAUUACUUACCCGGAUUUCUGGUUCGCGGAUUGUAAUACAGAGUCAAUCUUUUUCUCGAUUCGGAAUUUGAACCGCUGACUUGGGACACCAUAAAAUUAUCCCUAGUGGCGACUCUAAAUCUUUUAACAAUAAAUCCCAUUUCGAUUGUCACUUAAAGUGGAAAAACCCCCUUAUAUACUCCCUUCCGGGGGUGUAGGUAAAAAAGGAGGUGUGACAGCUCUGGCGACUCUGCUGGGGAUCGAACCCAGAAUCUCUGGUUCAGGGUUCAGAAUUCGAGCUUAGAUGAAGUGUUAUAUUUGGCUUUAGCUGAUUUUGUUACAUGUUUGGGCCUAAUGUGCUAAGUGUUGCUUUUACCGAUUUGAUAUUAUCUGAACUGUAUAUAUAAACUGCUACGAAAUCCCUCUCUUCUCUCUCCCGAGGAGUGCACGCUGGUCGUGACUUCUUUCUGUUAGUGUCAUAUCCCAAAUAGAACGAGGUUCGGACAAGUUGCAAAGCCGGAUGAUCUUUUAGUUACCAGUAUGCAGCCCCCCCUCGGCUGGAGUUGUCCGCUCGGGUAAGCCAGGUCUAGAACAAAUAAACCCAGGUUUUUUAAAACCUAGUAUAACAAUACCUCAUGCCAGAUCCCUAGUAGGAACGUUUAUUUGCAUCAUGUGCAUUUUGACUUAGGAGACUCAACACAGGGGUUGAGUCUGUUUAGGACAGGUGUACUCGAAAUGAAAAGACCAUGUUGAUGCAUCCUAUGUGCUACAUGUUGCAUGUCUUCAAGGUUAAAAGGGUCAUUUGGCGGACCAAUGAUAGCUGAGGGUAAAUGAAUAAAUAAAAAAAAUAAUGAAAAGAAAGAAGAAAGAAAAAAAAAGAAAAAGAGAGGGUGAAGUGUGAAGAUAAAGCGAGUGGGGUCCAAUUAUGUUUUCUGUCACAUUUUUGUUAAGGAAACAAAAGAGCUUGAAAAUUCAAAAAAAAAAAGAUUUUGCACUUUUUCAUCAUUUUCCGAAAAUCAAAAAUUAAAAUAAAAGGAAAAAAUCCAAAAAGAGUUUACAUGUUUCAUCAUUUUUCAAAAAAAAAAAACAUAUUUUCGCUGAAUUAGUUAUUUUCAUUUAAUUUUCGCCCGUAUCCAAUCUGCCCGAACUACGCAUACCUGAUUAUCGUCUUUCAGGGCGUGAUACGUAGGAAACCCACAUAGGGUCCGGUCUUCCUAGUAAAUCUUAGGUUCUUGGCUUUGCGGAGUCUUAGCCAAAUUUUGCACUUCUAACCACCUUUUGGCCAAAUAAGUCAUUUUACAAAAAUAGUCUCAAUCAUGUCUUGCAUGUGUCUAGUAGGGAAUGUUAUUGUCUCACAUAGUGUUGGUUUAAAUUUUCUCAUAUAGGUGUGGAUCCACUUACCGGAGUUUGAGCAUGACAGAUACCCAGGACCACCGAAUUCAGGAGUUGCUUAAGGAGAUUUUUAUAUUUGUUAUUUUUAUUUUAUUUUUAUGUUUUGAGUAUGUUUUUAUGUCGUCUUUUACUUUCUAGUUUUGUACAACAAUGUCGAGUUUUUUUAUUGUACUUUUUAUUUUAUAUUUGAAAAGGUGUGGUGU